UAUUUAAAAAACAGACGUUAGCCUUUAUCCCGCCUACGGCACGACGUCUGCCGCGUGCUUGACGUACAGGACAGCCAAUCUGCGAUCUUUUUUAUGCCACCACGCAUGUACGCAUCGUGAUUAUGGCGCCAAGAUUUUGAGAAAACCUCGCGUCAGAGCUGGGGACGGAACCGACUGCGCGUGCGCAACUUGAACUUUUGCGACACUGACAGCAACAAGCUGUCAGUUUGACAGACGACUCUGCUUUACGACUGGAGCCGACAAACAUUUCAGGGCAAUAUUUGGGUCGAUUCACUCGGAAUACGAUCGGACGGCGGUAUUUGAAAAGUUCAGACUGAAAUUAACGACGUCCAGCUGCGAAAAGUCGUGGACUUUCCGACUGUUUGGUGUGAGUGUGCAGAUGUGGCCGCCGGCUGGAGGAGGCUCUGCGUGCGGUGCUGGAUUGGCUGUUGUACCCAGCUGGUGUUGAAUGACCACAUUGUCGUGGGCGUCUUUGUCUGCGGCUCUGAGGAGGUCACACUGAAAUGGAAGCUGAGACGAAGCAUCGAUCUCACGCUGACAGAAUUCUGGAACUCCAACACACCAGCGACAGACGGGGAAACGCAAACACUGCAGGGAAUUUCCGGAACGUUCCUAAUGAUCUACUUCCUGUCGUUUUAAUGGAGUUGUAGUGAGACUUCAAGGCAGCGGAGCCGUUAAACCAUGUGAAGGUUUGGAGACGUUUCAGUCCUCAGACAAACCUGUGGUCUGGUGUAAUACCCACCUGCUGCCUCUGGGCAUUUUUUCAUUCUUCCAUUCUUGGAGGAUCGUAUUCCUUAUUCACGACAUGUGGGACACGUUCUGUCUCUCUGUCUCUACUGUCUUCAGCUGCGGCAGUUUGAAGUCAGUCUAACGUAUAAAA